UACUGGGGAGAUGGCUUCAUCAGGAGAAGAACCCUUUUUGAUGUUAUCUUGAGCUUACAUUUCAGGGAAUGCAAACUUCUGGGAUUAUAUUGAGAUCAUGGCAGUUCAGUUCAUAUUAAACUUUCUGACUAUUUGACAUUUGAAAUGAGUGGGCUACCUGCUUGCAAAAAGCCUACAAGAGCCUUAUCUUGGCUCUAGCUCUAUACUUCUAUACAUCCUCUGCAUCUCUGUUCUCUCUGGCUAUCCUUUAUGGAAAAUUACAGGUGUCUGCUUCAAACUUAUUAGAAUUCUUAUCUACAGCUACUACCAGAAAUUCACCUCAAACAUGGCUGCGUUUGAAAUGUUACCUUCAUCGCUACUGGCUUUAACUCUUUGCUUUGCAAAUUUUUAUUAAGAAAGUUGCAGGGGAUAACCCGGGAAAGAGCGCGAAUGCCUGGAGCACACAAGCCCCGAUUCACGCCGCAGCACCAGAAAAUUGGCCCGGCAAAACCGGAAAGAGAAGCCGGGAAAGUCCCGCGGGAAGCGACAGGAAUAAAAGCGAGGAGGAAGCCCGCAGAAACCCACACAGCACCCGGCGUCGCUGCAGCGGACGACUGCCCCAAGACGGCGUGGGCCGGGAACGCGCGAGAAAGAAAAGAUAAAGUAUGAUGCAUCUUAGCAAGUUACAGAAACAACAAGUCCCUUAAAAUCCACAUUGCUCAAAUCAGAAGACGUACAACAGUCAAAAUGACAAAGCAUAAGAAUUAAAGAUAUCCAAAUUAAUCAACCCUUGAAUGAGAAGAAAUUUUAAAGUACUGAAUAUU